rnacentral:rRNA from 1 species
GGGUUGUGAGGUUAAGCGACUAAGCGUACACGGUGGAUGCCCUGGCAGUCAGAGGCGAUGAAGGACGUGCUAAUCUGCGAUAAGCGUCGGUAAGGUGAUAUGAACCGUUAUAACCGGCGAUUUCCGAAUGGGGAAACCCAGUGUGUUUCGACACACUAUCAUUAACUGAAUCCAUAGGUUAAUGAGGCGAACCGGGGGAACUGAAACAUCUAAGUACCCCGAGGAAAAGAAAUCAACCGAGAUUCCCCCAGUAGCGGCGAGCGAACGGGGAGCAGCCCAGAGCCUGAAUCAGUGUGUGUGUUAGUGGAAGCGUCUGGAAAGGCGCGCGAUACAGGGUGACAGCCCCGUACACAAAAAUACACAUACUGUGAGCUCGAUGAGUAGGGCGGGACACGUGGUAUCCUGUCUGAAUAUGGGGGGACCAUCCUCCAAGGCUAAAUACUCCUGACUGACCGAUAGUGAACCAGUACCGUGAGGGAAAGGCGAAAAGAACCCCGGCGAGGGGAGUGAAAAAGAACCUGAAACCGUGUACGUACAAGCAGUGGGAGCACGCUUAGGCGUGUGACUGCGUACCUUUUGUAUAAUGGGUCAGCGACUUAUAUUCUGUAGCAAGGUUAACCGAAUAGGGGAGCCGAAGGGAAACCGAGUCUUAACUGGGCGUUAAGUUGCAGGGUAUAGACCCGAAACCCGGUGAUCUAGCCAUGGGCAGGUUGAAGGUUGGGUAACACUAACUGGAGGACCGAACCGACUAAUGUUGAAAAAUUAGCGGAUGACUUGUGGCUGGGGGUGAAAGGCCAAUCAAACCGGGAGAUAGCUGGUUCUCCCCGAAAGCUAUUUAGGUAGCGCCUCGUGAAUUCAUCUCCGGGGGUAGAGCACUGUUUCGGCAAGGGGGUCAUCCCGACUUACCAACCCGAUGCAAACUGCGAAUACCGGAGAAUGUUAUCACGGGAGACACACGGCGGGUGCUAACGUCCGUCGUGAAGAGGGAAACAACCCAGACCGCCAGCUAAGGUCCCAAAGUCAUGGUUAAGUGGGAAACGAUGUGGGAAGGCCCAGACAGCCAGGAUGUUGGCUUAGAAGCAGCCAUCAUUUAAAGAAAGCGUAAUAGCUCACUGGUCGAGUCGGCCUGCGCGGAAGAUGUAACGGGGCUAAACCAUGCACCGAAGCUGCGGCAGCGACACUAUGUGUUGUUGGGUAGGGGAGCGUUCUGUAAGCCUGUGAAGGUGUACUGUGAGGUAUGCUGGAGGUAUCAGAAGUGCGAAUGCUGACAUAAGUAACGAUAAAGCGGGUGAAAAGCCCGCUCGCCGGAAGACCAAGGGUUCCUGUCCAACGUUAAUCGGGGCAGGGUGAGUCGACCCCUAAGGCGAGGCCGAAAGGCGUAGUCGAUGGGAAACAGGUUAAUAUUCCUGUACUUGGUGUUACUGCGAAGGGGGGACGGAGAAGGCUAUGUUGGCCGGGCGACGGUUGUCCCGGUUUAAGCGUGUAGGCUGGUUUUCCAGGCAAAUCCGGAAAAUCAAGGCUGAGGCGUGAUGACGAGGCACUACGGUGCUGAAGCAACAAAUGCCCUGCUUCCAGGAAAAGCCUCUAAGCAUCAGGUAACAUCAAAUCGUACCCCAAACCGACACAGGUGGUCAGGUAGAGAAUACCAAGGCGCUUGAGAGAACUCGGGUGAAGGAACUAGGCAAAAUGGUGCCGUAACUUCGGGAGAAGGCACGCUGAUAUGUAGGUGAAGUCCCUCGCGGAUGGAGCUGAAAUCAGUCGAAGAUACCAGCUGGCUGCAACUGUUUAUUAAAAACACAGCACUGUGCAAACACGAAAGUGGACGUAUACGGUGUGACGCCUGCCCGGUGCCGGAAGGUUAAUUGAUGGGGUCAGCGCAAGCGAAGCUCUUGAUCGAAGCCCCGGUAAACGGCGGCCGUAACUAUAACGGUCCUAAGGUAGCGAAAUUCCUUGUCGGGUAAGUUCCGACCUGCACGAAUGGCGUAAUGAUGGCCAGGCUGUCUCCACCCGAGACUCAGUGAAAUUGAACUCGCUGUGAAGAUGCAGUGUACCCGCGGCAAGACGGAAAGACCCCGUGAACCUUUACUAUAGCUUGACACUGAACAUUGAGCCUUGAUGUGUAGGAUAGGUGGGAGGCUUUGAAGUGUGGACGCCAGUCUGCAUGGAGCCGACCUUGAAAUACCACCCUUUAAUGUUUGAUGUUCUAACGUUGACCCGUGAUCCGGGUUGCGGACAGUGUCUGGUGGGUAGUUUGACUGGGGCGGUCUCCUCCUAAAGAGUAACGGAGGAGCACGAAGGUUGGCUAAUCCUGGUCGGACAUCAGGAGGUUAGUGCAAUGGCAUAAGCCAGCUUGACUGCGAGCGUGACGGCGCGAGCAGGUGCGAAAGCAGGUCAUAGUGAUCCGGUGGUUCUGAAUGGAAGGGCCAUCGCUCAACGGAUAAAAGGUACUCCGGGGAUAACAGGCUGAUACCGCCCAAGAGUUCAUAUCGACGGCGGUGUUUGGCACCUCGAUGUCGGCUCAUCACAUCCUGGGGCUGAAGUAGGUCCCAAGGGUAUGGCUGUUCGCCAUUUAAAGUGGUACGCGAGCUGGGUUUAGAACGUCGUGAGACAGUUCGGUCCCUAUCUGCCGUGGGCGCUGGAGAACUGAGGGGGGCUGCUCCUAGUACGAGAGGACCGGAGUGGACGCAUCACUGGUGUUCGGGUUGUCAUGCCAAUGGCACUGCCCGGUAGCUAAAUGCGGAAGAGAUAAGUGCUGAAAGCAUCUAAGCACGAAACUUGCCCCGAGAUGAGUUCUCCCUGACUCCUUGAGAGUCCUGAAGGAACGUUGAAGACGACGACGUUGAUAGGCCGGGUGUGUAAGCGCAGCGAUGCGUUGAGCUAACCGGUACUAAUGAACCGUGAGGCUUAACCUUACAACGCCGAAGGUGUUU